AAAGGGGUCUGAUUUUCAAUUGACAAAUACAAGGAGAAUACAUUUUUAAAGAAAGGAGAGGAAGCAAAAAACCUUCAUUCACAAAACUACCUAGAAAUUCCAGUGAAUCGGAACCACCCUCACAAAAAAGGAACCAAUUCCCAGUCCUUGUUUAGCACCAUUUCACUAUUCCCAGACUCACACCAAGUUUUUGACAGAACCCAGUACCGCACCCUUGCACGCCUUACACCUAACACAGGCCCUCGCAAGUAC
rnacentral:lncRNA from 1 species